rnacentral:lncRNA from 1 species
GCACCUUUAGUCCCAGCUACUCAGGCUGAGGCAGAAGAACUGCUUGAACCUGGGAGGCAGAAAUUGCAGUGAGCCGAGAGCCACUCCACUCCAACCUGGGCAACAGAGCAAGACUCCGUCUCCAGAAAAAAAAGAGAGAGAAGGGGGUUAGGAUUGGAAUGGGACACACAAAAAGGACUUCUAAGGUAAGGAGCUGGUUGAAUUCAAGCAUGCAAAACCCAUGGGUAUAGAAGGCCAACUGUAAUAAUUUUGUCUGCUCCAUGAAGAAUAACGAAUAGACUCAAAGGGAUAAUCAAAGAAGCAGCAAGACCACUUAGGAAGCUCCUGCAAUCAUCCAGGAGAUUAUUUUAAACUUGAUGGAUCAAUCCUCUUAAGGAUAACGAAUUUGGAUUUGCAAGAAUUCAAGGCAAUUCCGGGCCCAGCUUUUUGGAGGUAAAUCCACUGAGCCGGUGUGUACCUCACAAUAAAUAUCCUCCUGUAUUCACGCAUACUGGUCUCUCUAAUCCUCUGCGUCCCGCAACAAGCUGAGAGCGCGCCACUGCACUUGCAGUCUUGCACAUAGCAAGACUAUGUCUCAACAACAACAAAAAAGGUCACCAUACUGGCAGCUUACCAGAUUGAAGAUGCCAGUAAUAUGUUAGUGUGGUUUGCAAGAAACUUC